GAUCUCUCCUGAUGUCUUUGCACUGGGCUCAGACUGUUUCUGCUGACACAAGUGCUGCUCUGCCCCGACAAGGCAGAGUCUGAAGAGAUU
rnacentral:snoRNA from 1 species